ACUCUUUCGGGAGGCAGCAGUAGGGAAUCUUCCACAAUGGACGCAAGUCUGAUGGAGCAACGCCGCGUGAGUGAAGAAGGGUUUCGGCUCGUAAAGCUCUGUUGUUGGUGAGAGGACAGGGGUAGUAACUGACCUUUGUUUGACGGUAAUCAAUUAGAAAGUCACGGCUAACUACGUGCCAGCAGCCGCGGUAAUAC
rnacentral:rRNA from 1 species